UCCGUAGGUGAACCUGCGGAAGGAUCAUUAUUGAGUGAAGGGUUUUCUAAGAACCUGACCUCCCAACCCUUGUGUUCUUUACCCCUUGCUUUGGCGGGCCCGUCACUGCUGUGACCGCCGAAGGGUUAUGUUUUUAACUAAUCUUUGGGCCCGUGCCCGCCAGAGAUAUCUGAACUCUUGUUAUGAAAUAGGUUGUCUGAGUUAUAAAGAAAAAUAAGUCAAAACUUUCAACAACGGAUCUCUUGGUUCCGGCAUCGAUGAAGAACGCAGCGAAAUGCGAUAAGUAAUGUGAAUUGCAGAAUUCCGUGAAUCAUCGAAUCUUUGAACGCACAUUGCGCCCUCUGGUAUUCCGGAGGGCAUGCCUGUCCGAGCGUCAUUGCUGUACCUCAAGCCCGGCUUGUGUGUUGGGCCUACCGUCCUGUUUGGAUGGUGGCCCGAAAGGCAGUGGCGGCGUCGCGUCCUGGUCCUUGAAGCGUAUGGGGCUUUGUCACCCGCUUGGAGGCCGGCCGAUGCCGUAGCCCAUCGUGGAUCU
rnacentral:misc_RNA from 1 species